UUAUAUAUAUAUAUAUAUAUAUUUUAAUUGGGGUAGCCCCCAAAAUAUUGGGACAUAUAAAAAAAGACAACUCUGGUCCGCAGAGUAGCUGUUGACAUUAUAGCUGCGCGAGAGAUCCUCGGGCCAAUCACACAUCCCUGUGAUGGCGACUUUGCAUUCGGAUGUCAUCCAUAUCAACUUUCGAUGUCAGUUUCUGCGCCUACCAUGGUGACCACGGGUAAUGGGAAUCAGGGUUCCAUUCCGUACAGGGACCCUGAGAAACGGCUACCACAUGCAAGGAAGGCAGUAGGCGUGCAAAUGACCCACUCCCGACCCAGGAAGGUAGUGACGA